GGACAACCUAACCUCCAGAGGGGGAUAACCCCGGGAAACUGGGGAUAAUACCCCAUAGACUAUGGAUGCUGGAAUGCUCUGUAGUUGAAAGGUCCGCCGCUGGAGGAUGGGUCUGCGGCCGAUUAGGUUGUUGUUGGGGUAACGGCCCAACAAGCCUGUAAUCGGUACGGGUUGUGGGAGCAAGAGCCCGGAGAUGGAUUCUGAGACACGAAUCCAGGCCCUACGGGGCGCAGCAGGCGCGAAAACUUUGCAAUGCGGGAAACCGUGACAAGGGAACUCUGAGUGCCCGUAAAAUCGGGCUGUCCAUCAGUUUAAAUAACUGGUGAAGAAAGGGCCGGGCAAGACCGGUGCCAGCCGCCGCGGUAAUACCGGCGGCUCGAGUGGUGGCCACUAUUACUGGGCUUAAAGCGUUCGUAGCUGGUCUGUUUAGUCUCUGGGGAAAUCUUCCGGCUUAACCGGAAGGCGUCUCAGGGAUACUGGCAGACUA
rnacentral:rRNA from 1 species